rnacentral:rRNA from 1 species
GACGAACGCUGGCGGCGUGCUUAACACAUGCAAGUCGAACGGAAAGGCCCUGCUUUUGUGGGGUGCUCGAGUGGCGAACGGGUGAGUAACACGUGAGUAACCUGCCCUUGACUUUGGGAUAACUUCAGGAAACUGGGGCUAAUACCGGAUAGGAGCUCCUGCUGCAUGGUGGGGGUUGGAAAGUUUCGGCGGUUGGGGAUGGACUCGCGGCUUAUCAGCUUGUUGGUGGGGUAGUGGCUUACCAAGGCUUUGACGGGUAGCCGGCCUGAGAGGGUGACCGGGCAGGUGGGGCAGAAGGUCCGGAGAGGGGGGAUACGGGAGGGAGCAGGGGGGCGGGUGGGAGGAGGGGCGGAGGGUUGAGGAAGGAGUGCGGGGGGUGGGAAGACGGCCGGAGGGUUGGAGAAAGAAGUCGCCGGGGACAAAGCGUGAGAGACGUGGAGGGGAAAAGAGGCAGAGGAUAACUACGUG